UGUCUCAAGCCUCAAGGUCUUCUGAAAGGAAUGGCACCAUUGGCUCUCCUGGAUCUCCAGAUUGCUGAAUCACCCUACAGAUCUUCAGACCUCCCAGUCUCCAUAAUCUUGUGAGGAAAUUGAGGCACAGAGGAGUUCACCAAGGUCAUGCAGAUAAGAAGUGAUAGAAAGAGGAUUCACACCCCAGAUUCUGCUCCAAUAAUGAUGACGAUAACUAAUAUCUAUUGAACAGUCAUUAUGUAUCAGGCACUCCAGUGAUUUUGUUGCACUUCAGAUAACGUAUUUCACCUGCUGUUGGAGGAAGUCAGAGAGAGGCUGUGACCACGGUGGACCGUCAAGGGGGACGCAGGCAGUAGGAGGCUCCUCGCCCUGCCCCUGCCCUGCAAAUGUUCCUUCUGCCCGCGGUUCCCACCGCCGGAGCCAUUCGCAAGGAUGCGGCGCAGAGUGAUGUGUUGCUGAGAUCACGUGGACCGUAUGCGUGACUGAAACCAGUCAAGGCCUCUGGAUACACCUUUAAGACUUGGUGAGCAGGUGUGGACGUUUUCUCCUCUUGCAGCGCCUAAGACAAGCCUCCUGUGGAAGUUCCCUCGCUUAUCAAACCAGCACCUACCAGCAUGGCCCGCCUCUUUCUUCCCGCCCUCCCUGAUCUCCCCGCCGAGGGGCGUUUCAGAGUUUACUGGGAGAACUCCUAAGGUCUCGAACCAACACCUGCUUUUCUCUCAGGAUCAGCAGCCUUUUCAACAGCUUUUGCUAUCCAAAAGCCAGCUUGGUGAUCGAAGUCUAUAGACAUACCUGAAGUGUACCACAAAAUUUGAGCUUUCUUCCUUUCUCAGAAAAGUUGGCCUGGCUUCAACAGUCACUAAACAGCGCACAGUCCUGAGUUACAACUGCUGUCCACACUGUGAAUAAAUAGCCCCUGCCCCCCC